UUCAUUUACUGGACACCUUUUAUUCACUGCACCUGGGCCGAGACCUCUCUGUACCCUCAAUACACACUGCACCUGGGCCGAGACCACACUGUACCCCCAAUACACACUGCACCUGGGCCGAGACCUCUCUGUACCCCAAUACACACUGCACCUGGGCCGAGACCUCUCUGUACCCCCAAUACACACUGCACCGAGACCACACUGUACCCCCAAUACACACUGCACCUGGGCCGAGACCAAUCUGUACCCCCAAUACACACUGCACCUGGGCCGAGACCACUCUGUACCCCCAAUACACACUGCACCUGGGCCGAGACAACACUGUACCCCAAUACACACUGCACCUGGGCCGAGACCACACUGUACCCAAAUACACACUGCACCUGGGCCGAGACCACACUGUACCCCAAUACACACUGCACCUGGGCCGAGACCACACUGUACCCCAAUACACACUGCACCUGGGCCGAGACCACACUGUACCCCCAAUACACACUGCACCUGGGCCGAGACCACACUGUACCCCCAAACACACUGCACCUGGGCCGAGACCACUCUGUACCCCCAAUACACACUGCACCUGGGACGAGACCACACUGUACCCCCAAUACACACUGCACCUGGGCCGAGACAACACUGUACCCCCAAUUCACACUGCACCUGGGCCGAGACCACACUGUACCCCCAAUACACACUGCACCUGGGCCGAGACCACACUGUACCCCAAUACACACUGCACCUGGGCCGAGACCACACUGUACCCCCAAUUCACACUGCACCUGGGCCGAGACCUCUCUGUACCCCCAAUACACACUGCACCUGGGCCGAGACCUCUCUGUACCCCCAAUACACACUGCACCUGGGCCGAGACCACACUGUACCCCAAUACACACUGCACCUGGGCCGAGACCACACUGUACCCCCAAUACACACUGCACCUGGGCCGAGACCUCUCUGUACCCCCAAUACACACUGCACCUGGGCCGAGACCUCUCUGUACCCCCAAUACACACUGCACCUGGGCCGAGACCACUCUGUACCCCAAUACACACUGCACCUGGGCCGAGACCACUCUGUACCCCAAUACACACUGCACCUGGGCCAAGACCACUCUGUACCCCAAUACACACUGCACCUGGGCCGAGACCACUCUGUACCCCAAUACACACUGCACCUGGGCCGAGACCACUCUGUACCCCAAUACACACUGCACCUGGGCCGAGACCACUCUGUACCCCCAUACACAGUGCACCUGGGCCGAGACCUCUCAAUACCCCCAAUACACACUGCUCCUGGGCCGAGACCUCUCUGUACCCCCAAUACACACUGCACCUGGGCCGAGACCUCUCUCUACCCCCAUACACACGGCUCACUUUCUCAACGUGUACUCAAACUUACAGUGCCUUGCGAAAGUAUUCGGCCCCCUUGAACUUUGCGACCUUUUGCCACAUUUCAGGCUUCAAACAUAAAGAUAUAAAACUGUAUUUUUUUGUGAAGAAUCAACAACAAGUGGGACACAAUCAUGAAGUGGAACGACAUUUAUUGGAUAUUUCAACCUUUUUUAACAAAUCAAAAAACUGA
ensembl:lncRNA